ensembl:lincRNA
ACACACUGUGCUGCUGUCCAUUUGUUCUGUGGCUCCAAAUGAGCAGCAAACUACUAGGAAUGGCUGGGCACCUCUGGGCACCCACAGCACACGACACAGGCUGUGACCCCAGACCUUACCAACCUCGUGCAUUGCCUUCCAGGACCCCAGGAGGUGUCUGAAGCCACGGAUGGAACCAAACACCAGGUGUACAGUUGUUUUCCUACAGGUUUUGGAGACAACAUGGAUCUACAUCUAUCUACAAACAAAACUGCAGAAGGCUGAGAACAUCAAGUUGCCCUUGCAUGGCAGGAUGUGUCAUCAUCCCUCUAAGGGGCUGCGUUGUGCUCACGCAGGUGCCCACCACACUGCUGCUCCAGCUACCGAUCACACACAAGGGGACCAAGUGAGCAGCUACAUUCUGUCCACGACGCUGUGCUCACACCUCUGAGACUUCGUGCCCCAGGUGCCACUCACCCCGUAAGACUCACAGCAGGAGAAGCACCUUAGUGGGGAAGUAAAUCGCAGUGAUACAAGCCCCCAGACAACUCCCUUUAGCUACUCCGAGGCUGCUCCAGGCAGGGAAUCGAGCACUGGGAACGUUCACUCACCCUUGCCGGCCCCACCCAGGAUGGAGCAGGGCGUGUGAACAAGAUGGGGGCCCAAGAAAAGCACGCUCCACCCCGCAGAGCCCGCAGCCCUCUGCCGGAGGCUUUCACACAGGCAGGUAAUGAACACACUUGAAUUUACCUUUACUUUAAUAUAACUAAUGAGGUCUUUAUCAUUUAGUAAAAAUAAAUGAAAGUUUUUAUUUCUAUGAUAUUAAAUUGACUUUUAAACUUUUGAAGUGAACGUGUAAAACAUUUCUUUCUUUUUAUCCCUGCUUGGGGAGUUGUAAUUGCAUUUUAACUGGUGCUGUUUCAAGAACAAUUUUAACCUUGAAUUGCAAAUGUGUUGGCUGGAAGUGUAUAUAAAUCACUUCAACUUAGUUUUUAUUAUAAAAGUAUUACAGAGAAUAAUUAGUUUUUAAUCUGUUGGUUGGAAUCAAAGGAGAGCUGAAAUCUCUUCACGCCAGUCCUAUGCAGCAAAGCGUGGGUCCCCAAGAUGUGCGGAGGGGCCGUGCGGCUGAAGGCGGAAGGGACAGAAACCGAAAGGAGCGGAAUGGUGAACCACUACGAGGUUGAAAAGCAGCGUUUUGAGGGACGGACACACAGUGGCAAUGAAACAGAACUGGGGUCCAUUACGAGCACAAUAGCCACCCCAACAGUACACGUCAGGCACUGCGGCGUCUCACCGAAGGUCACGGGGAAACUUGUUUAAAUGCCCAGCCCCUGGAGCACCCCAGCUUACUGAACUGCAGCUGCAGAAAUGGAAGCUGAGAAGAGCGUGCUAAAUGCAGCCCCCUGUCCCUCCUGGGCCCGGGGUGGCUCUACAGCGAGGUCCUCUGCAGAGAGAAAGUCACUGCAUCACAGUCAACGAGCAAAGUGAGCUCUUUCGGGUUGAUGGUGGCCGCCGAAGCUCACUACUUAGUGAUCAUCUUGUCCCACGCACUGCACACCCCACAGUGCUGGACGGAAACUCUGAUGUAAGUGCCUCAUUCCAGACGUCAAGGUCUUGAGCUACACCUCAGAGCUGUGACGCCAGCGGCCACACACAGCUAUUCCAUUAGAAAUGGGGCCAGCCUUCCUG